CCUUUGGGAACCUCGAACCCCGAGGGGAUCCCGUCGUUUUCCCGAGGAUAGAAGCCCCCGCGGAGAUCUGGACACGGGCCAAGUUACCCCGUCAUUUGGGAGAACACGAGACGGGGACAUCUGACCCGAUCCGCGAGUUUUCCGCGUGGCGAGGCCUCCCCACCUCGAGGGUCCGGACGGCGCUUCCCCGAGCGUCGUCGCGACCGAAGCGAUGCGAGGGAGCUAGCACCACUCGCCGCGACGCCGCCGCUCCGCCUCCGUCCAGGCGCUGUUGCCCCGCCUCCGUCUAGGCGCCACCGCUCCUCCGCCUUCCCGUCCGGGCAGCGGCACCACGCCGUCCUCCCUCGUCCAGCCGCCGCCUGUCAGGCAAGCAGAUCGCCACUCCACCAUCCCGUAAAGGCGCCGCCCGUCCGCCUCCUCAUCUUGAUCUGCUUCAGCGCCUCCACCUCGGCCGCCUCCUCUGCAGCCACCACGGCGCCUCCACCUCGUCUUCACCACCACUCCAGCAGUUGCAGCUCGCAAAGAGCGUAGGAGUUUGAUGAGGAAGGUAAAUUGGUGGAGGGAGAUCUUUGCUAUUUGAUCGUCAAUGAAAGAUUGCUGCAGCUAAGAGAAUGACAACUUCAGAGCAAGGAAGUGAAGAACAAGGAAACAAGGACAUGGAUGCUUUAAGUGCAGUUAUGGACAAGGUGAAGAGCCACCCGGAAGUGGUGGAGAAGGUCAAGAUGAGGUUAAGAGCCUUGCUGAUGCUCUUCAUCUGCAGAGGCAUCGAUCCAAAGAUAAAGAACCUGAGGCUGAAGAGAAAGUAGAGGAAGGCGAAGCUGCCCAGAACGCUGACGUUGCCGCCUCUGCUGACAAGACUGAAGAAUCGAAUGUGGAGCAAGCAGUAGAAGAAAUUCAGGCUGUCGUCGCAGUGGUGCAGCAGGAGCAGACAGCCCCCACAACUGAAACUCCAACUAAGACUGCUGCUACUGCUGAAACUUCAGCUGAAGGAGAGAAGCCUGAAGAAACAAACAGGGAGGUGGAGAAAGAUGACCCAAAGAAGCGGCUUGAUUUCUUAGGGUUCUUCACCAUGCUGUUUGAGAGGUUCUGCUCCCCUGCAACAAGAAGAAAGAUUAAAUGGUAUGCAGGUCAGGUGUGGAUUUCUCGUUGCGUGAUCUUGGACUUAAGCUGCUUACAUUAGCUAAUUCAGCAGACCCAACAAUAGCUGAUAUAUAUAGAACAUGCAAAACGAAACAUUGGAGACUAUAUUGAUUUUUUUUCUUUUUCCUGA